GACGAACGCUGGCGGCGUGCUUAACACAUGCAAGUCGAACGGAAAGGCCCUGCUUUUGUGGGGUGCUCGAGUGGCGAACGGGUGAGUAACACGUGAGUAACCUGCCCUUGACUUUGGGAUACUUCAGGAAACUGGGGCUAAUACCGGAUUGGAGCUCCUGCUUCAUGGUUGGGGUUGGAAAGUUUCGGCGGUUGGGGAUGGACUCGCGGCUUAUCAGCUUGUUGGUGGGGUAGUGGCUUACCAAGGCUUUGACGGGUAGCCGGCCUGAGAGGGUGACCGGCCACAUUGGGACUGAGAUACGGCCCAGACUCCUACGGGAGGCAGCAGUGGGGAAUAUUGCACAAUGGGCGGAAGCCUGAUGCAGCAACGCCGCGUGCGGGAUGACGGCCUUCGGGUUGUAAACCGCUUUCGCCUGUGACGAAGCGUGAGUGACGGUAAUGGGUAAAGAAGCACCGGCUAACUACGUG
rnacentral:rRNA from 1 species